rnacentral:lncRNA from 1 species
GUUUUGACCUGGGGCACAUUUUUAACCUAAGAAGGGAAUAAAGGUUGUCUCAUGAGGUUGUUGUGCAGUUCAAAUGAGAUUACAAACGUGAAAGCUUGUGAAGCUCAGUCCUGUACGUUCAUGGAGUCCUCAUUGUACAAACUGGCCCCUUCUUGGUAACCUUUAGAGUUCCCUCCUAGGCUGUAAGCUGCAAGAGGGCAGGUACCAGGUCUGGUUGUAUUCAUCAUGUAUCACAGUGUCUAGCAGAAGGGUUCAUGUGGGUGUUCAAUAAAGUUUUGCUGAGUAGGUAAAUAAAUGAAUUAAUGAAUCCUGUUAUGCUUUGAACAGUUCCUAUUAUUUGUUCCUUAAACAGUUCCUUCAAUAGUGGUCUUAUUGCAUGGCUGGCUCAGUGAAAAACCCUCUAACUCAACCUCCUGUAACUAACUAGUGUGCCGGGAGACUGGGAGAAUUCUGGAUGGUACUGUCAGAGGCAUUCGAACCAGAGAAACUCCAUUUUGAAUGAGGGCUAGGAAAAUGAGGCUGAGACUGGCUGGGCCGCAUUCUCGGAAAGUUAGGCUUUCCUAGCCUCUAGAUGUUUACAGCUAAGGGAACAAAUUAAUAGUGUUUACUAAACAAACCCAGACUUGGGAGUGUCCAGAUAUCACGAUAUCUGGAGAACAAAGACAUUCCUAAUUUUGCUUUAAAGAUAAUAUUGAUUCUUGCAAAAUAUAGUAAUUUAUUUAUUUAUCACAAACUCUUGUAGCAGAGCACAUCUCCCUAUAUAUACAAGCGAUGUACCUAGCAUGGAAUCGUUCCUCCUCUUACUUUCGGCAACAUCCUACUUUGUCUAUGGAGUAGGUGUCCUUUCACCACUUUACUUUCUUAAUAAACUGGCUUUUACUUUA